AAUCAACGCUGGCGGCGUGCCUAACACAUGCAAGUCGAACGAGAAAGGGACUUCGGUCCUGAGUACAGUGGCGCACGGGUGAGUAACACGUGACUAACCUACCCUGGAGUGGGGGAUAACUGAGGGAAACCUUAGCUAAUACCGCAUAACACCUACGGGUCAAAGGAGCAAUUUGCUUCAGGAGGGGGUCGCGGCCGAUUAGUUAGUUGGCAGGGUAAUGGCCUACCAAGACGAUGAUCGGUANCCGGCCUGAGAGGGCGCACGGACACACUGGAACUGAAACACGGUCCAGACUCCUACGGGAGGCAGCAGUGGGGAAUUUUGCGCAAUGGGGGAAACCCUGACGCAGCAACGCCGCGUGGAGGAUGAAGUCCCUCGGGACGUAAACUCCUUUCGAUCGGGACGAUAAUGACGGUACCGGAAGAAGAAGCCCCGGCUAACUUCGUG
rnacentral:rRNA from 1 species